rnacentral:rRNA from 1 species
UACGGAGGGAGCUAGCGUUAUUCGGAAUUACUGGGCGUAAAGCGCACGUAGGCGGUUAUGUAAGACAGGUGUGAAAUCCCCGGGCUUAACCUGGGAACUGCAUUUGUGACUGCAUAGCUAGAGUACGGUAGAGGGGGAUGGAAUUCCUGGUGUAGCGGUGAAAUGCGCAGAUAUCAGGAGGAACACCGGUGGCGAAGGCGGUGGUCUGGGCCGGCACUGACGCUGAGGAGCGAAAGCGUGGGUAGCAAACAGG